CCAUGGGGGGUUACGUUUCACAUGGCCAUGGCAGCGAAUCGUUAUCAGUUCGGGGCGAACUUACAGCCCACUUAGCCUGACAGACUUCCUAAUACGCACCACCCAACAUUAUUUAUUCAUGAACUUGGCGUUCCGUGCAUUUGUUCGUGUUGUUUUCGAUAUUUUUACAUUGUACACAGCACCAAAACGGACGUUGAUAAAAUUCUAAUUGAACGGGCUUGUACACUGUAAGCCAUGUUUUCCAUCGUACACGUUUUUGUUAUAGUCACGUCUCGUCCAGCCACUUUUCACACCUUGUUGGGGAUUGGGAUUGCUAAAUCUUAAUUAUCUGCACUUUCCACACAUGUCGUGUAGCAAUUGCAAUUGUGCAAUGUUGUUUCCCGAAAGUCUCGACUGCAUUUGUCUAUGUAUUUCUAUGUACAUAGUGUCACAGCAUUCUGCCUGAAAGUUUGACUGACGAGUGAGCUUGGGUCCAUACACCAUUAACCAUUAACCAAACAAUAUGUACAUACAUACAUAUAAUUACGACAAAACUUUUAUUCUCGUAGUAGAGAUAACCCCGCGACAACAUUUUAUCCUUAUUUUAUAAUUUUUAUCUGGUUGUACGAGUAUCUGUUGAGAUUAUAAUCGUCAUCGCAUGUUGCAGAAUUGUUAAAUUCUGCGAACAAGAUUUUUUUUUUUUUUAAAUAUGAUAAGCGUAGUGUUCCGGAAACACAUGUCCAGAAAUCAGCAGUGGAGCAGCUCUUGACGCAAGUGAAAAUCAUUCUAGCUAAUGAAUCAGUGGCAGCAGCUCACUAAUUCUCCCUAACGGUUUACAUAUCAAAAGAUGACCCAUUCUGGGAAAAGUGCAAAAAAAAGAAACAUUUGUAUCUACGUAUAAAAAAAAUGUUAUCAAAGACGGCAGGAAUUCUCCUCGUUACAGCGCUCCGGCAGCCACUGUCCCGGUGUGGUCACAGAAUAUACAAUUCAAACUAUUUGCCACUGGAAAUGUUUUGUUUGUUGCGAUGCCCGUUUAUGUUGCUAAUUUGAUCUGCUUCUUUUUUGUUUCUUGUUAGUUUUUUUUAGAUUUUGUUGCCGGGUGUGCAAUGGAGCGUGUGUAUUCAAAUGCGAUGGCCCCACCGCAGCGACGACGCUUUCUUUGUGCCUCUUCGGUAUUUAAUCAAAAAAGAGAGGAGCAAAAAAAAACACACACACCGUGGAAUACAAAAAACGAGACGAGCACACCAAAAUAGCGACAAAUCAACCGAAAAUUAUAAAAGAAAAGAAAGAACUCGACAAAUCGAUGUGGAAUCAAUGCAAUAAAUUAACUUGAUUUGGUUUUCGCUUUGCCAGCCGAUUUCGAUAAAAAAAAAUAAAAUAAAAAACCCAAAAAAAAUGUGAGGGAAAAACAAAAGAAGAAAUAAAUGAAAUAUCGUAAAACAAAAGGCCCAGACCAGUGCCAACGGCUGGAAUCCCAUUCCGAAUCUGAGCUCCACAUCACGCCAUGAAAUAUGAGCAGAAUUUUUGGCCAGAACAAAAAAAAAAAGAAGCCUUUACCUGUCUGUCCACCAGCGGCCGCUUGUAAAUGAAAUCCUUCUUGGGUGAGUAGAGCUCCGGCGGUAUGCCUUUGAAGGAGUACCGCAGACCGGCAUCGUCAAGGUCGUUCGCUGAAGGUGUUCCCCGCAGACAGCCCUCCACAUCGAUCGCAUCUUCAUACUGCUCCUGCUCCGGACCCGCCUCCGCCUCUGCCUCCGUUUCCGUUUCGUGUGAGUCGCAGAUUGUAGUGCUACUCGUCUGAUUGCUGCGACCCGAUGUCGUCGAUCGUAGCGUGGCGCUCCCACAGUCAUGCGCAAAGUCAUCGUUGCAGUUGGUGUCCAGGGCGCCUGCGCCCUCGCCACCGUGCAGCAGCUGAUGCGCCUCCGUUGCCAUGCACCGCUCGGGCUCUGUCUCUGCUUGGCGCGCACUUGGCAUGGACAUGGUGAUGGUGAGCUGUGGUGUGGUGUGGUGUGGAUGCGGAAGAGCUGCUAGAUAUCGAUCGGUGGGCAACACGUGUAAAAAUGCGCGCGAAAUCGGGGCUCAGGUUCGUUGCCCACGCACGUUGUGGGUAUGUUUCCGUUCCGUUCCAGACCGUUAACGUUGCCGUUGCCGUUGCCGUUGACGCCGCACGCGCACUCACGCACCCGCCUCUUGGGCGAAGAUCAACAUUGAGCGGAGUCGUCCCGCAAAGGCCUCCAAACUCCUCCUCCUCCUCCGCCACCGCCAUGGACAUGAUCGGAUUGAAUUGUGCCUCAGAUGGGUGAUGUCUAAAUUCUGAAAAAUUCGCAAAAAUCAAACUCAAUUACGUGCGCUGUCAAUCAGCGGACAGGAAUCGGAAUCGAAAAACCGAACACCGAGAGAGACAUGCGUAAGAAGCGUUUGUUGUACUCCCAUAGUUCCGUGGCGUAUCUCGAAGAUACAUUUCACUUAACUGUAUGCACUAUCGAACACUGUUCUGGGCAACCUUUCCAGCACUAC